ACACCGUUCCCACUCAGCUUUGCUUCAGCACCGAGGGUUUUGGGGAGGGCGACUAGGGUUUCAACUCGGCGAGCGAACACAGAAUCCUUCCUGGUCGUCGGAAGCAGCUUCAACCGCGUCAGAUUCGUCUCCGCGUCCCAUGCGAUUUAUUCCUCCCUUCUUCUACUCUGUACUCUAUCGGUGUCGCCAUCGUUCAGACGCGGCCGCUGGUUUUGUGUUCGCUUCUUAUGUCAUCGCACACGGUGAUUUGCGGCUGUCAAAGAUUGUGUUCGCCAUCGUCGUUGCUGUCGCUCGGCACACGCCAGACCUGCUGCUGCGUCCUGCACACUCGUCCUUGCACCGUAGCACCUGUGUAACCUGAAACUUCCUUGACAGCGCCGUCCUCUGCUUCGCAGUCAUGCCGUCAUGCCGGUGUUGUCAGUCGUACACGCUGGUUCGUUGAUCGAUGAAGUGUCCCAACACUUUAUCCUAAUAAAUACAUAUACGCUACUAAAGGUCAUUUAUAAUUUGUUGCUGCUGAUUAUAUCAACUAUAUUAGAUAUUUCAUACGUACGUUACCUGUGCGAGUCUAACAAAACAUGCUAAUUGUGAUUUUACAGCUCCCUCAUCCGCUGCAACGACACCGUGAUUGCUUUACAGCUUAAAACCUUCUGUACCGUGACUUGGUAUUCAGUUCACAGGACGAACCUCAUCAUUACAUCCUCGGAUGAGUACGGAUCAAAUGCUAUGCUCGAAGGCGUGUUUCCAUAUUUUACUUUAAGUCAGUUGGUCUGAUUAUAUGGUCGGUCACUCAUACAUUUUUUGGUUUCUGAAUACUAUAUCAACGAUUCACGUUCAACUGCGCCAUUCUUUUACGGCCGGCUUCUAAAUGUUCACCUCUUAUGCAGGUAAGUCUAGAGAUGGUCCCAAAUUUUUUCGUCAUUUUACUUUGCGCAUAUAUACUCCUGCUAAUAAUGUACCAAUCUUAUUUGGUAUAAUUAGUAAUUGGAUUUCAUAGACGAUAUUUAACCUCAA